GUUUCCCGGAAUUCUUUCUAAGCCGCCUUCUCCUCUCUCCAGGCGGAUGAUCGCCUGUCUCUGCUGGUCGCCCUCCGCGACGAGGCCGAGGAAGCACAAGGGAAUCCUAAAAACAGGUGAUUGAAAGGUGGUUCCUGAAAAGGGGGGUCCCCUCCCCAACCCCAGAAGAGAUGGGUGGGCUGGGCAAACCUUAACACAACGAGGCAGCCUCUCCCUUUCCAUGCCAAGACCAGCCAGAGAGGCGAUGGGAGCAGCAGGCCAAAGCCGGAGUGGGAGGUUUUGCUUGGCCGGCUUCUUGCUGACACUUUCCCUGGUGGCGCUGGGCCUGGCCUCCGAGAAGGUGAGUCAUGGCCGGCCAAGAGGCUUACUCAUCCACUGGCGGAAAAGCCCGGAGGGACCAGGGUGUGUGUGCGAGCGUGCGUGCGUUUUCCCAGGGAGGAAGCGCUGCCCGCCCCGUUUGGGCUCCAUCAAAAGCGGGGUCCCUGUAGCCUCACUCAGCUUCAUCCACCAGCCCUGAAACUCCUUUGCAAAGGAACAAAAUCUGUUUCUCGCCUGAAACCGCUGAAGCCUCUGGCAGUUACCAUGUCUCAUAUCUGGUCCUGAGGACUGGAAACUUGAAGAAAUCAAUUUGCCAUCCACAGCUUAAAAAUUUGGCCCACUCCAAAGUUUCCCCUCCACAAUCAAAUUCUCGCGAGUAAGAACUGUUCGGGGUCAUGGUGCAAAACACAGGACCGGCCGUCCUCAUUUAGCAACAACAAUAGGGACAAGCAACUCCAUCGUUCAGCAGAAUGGUCCCUAAGUUAAGGCGCAUCUUUGAUCUUACUCUGGCUUGGCUUGGCUUUGCAGACCUGGGAAAGUUUUACAGUGAGGAUGCAAAGUUGUUAUUUUUCAGCACCAUCGUAACUGCGAACAGAUGCAAAAUGAAGCAGUGGCUAGACAGGGACUCUUUGCGUGAGCUCCGUAAUGUAUGUGGUGAAAAUAAAUAUUGGCGUUUUGAUUAGCAAUGGUUGAGGGAAUGAAAGGGAGGGCUUACCGUAUGGAAAAGGUCUUGAGGUUUAUUUAAAAGUUUUCCCCUUAUAUUUUACUUCUCUGCAUACCUUUUUAUGCCUCGGAGUUUAUUUGACGGAGAAGAUGACAAAUUUUGGCAGCCACCAGGGAGUUUACAAUUUGGGCUUUGUCCUGUGGAUUAACUGUGUCUUUUUAAAGGCCAAGAAAUAUUCUUUUCUCUCUCCCAGUGCACCCAAUUUUCUAAAUAUCCUAGGAUUCUGGCUCUCACCCUUCCUCUUUUAAAGAGGCUUUUCUUUUUAAAACACAUCACUCAUAUCACUCAUAUCAUCCAACUAAACUGUAAGUCUCUCUUGCGUGUGUACAAGCAAGCCAGUACGCAGUUGAGACCCAACAACAAUUCAUAAGAGGAAGGUGGAACUUCCUGCAUUGGAGGCAAGCUGAAUGGAAAGAUUUACAGCCUUUUUAUACACUUAAAAUCCUAAAGUCUCUAUAGCCCUUAAAAAUCUGACUUUUGAGCAGGGCUGUCCAUCCUGGGCAAAUUUAAGACCUGUGGACUUCAACUCCAAGAAUUCUCCAGCCAGCAUGGAAAGAAAGAGAAGGAAGGAAGGAAGGAAGGAAGAAACAGAGAAAGAGAUAUAUAUCUAGAGAGAGAGAGAGAGGGAGGGAGAUGUGAAUGGGAAGGAAAGGAAUGAAUAAGAAGAAAUAAAAAGAAAAAUUCCCUGGCACCUCAUGAACCAGGGGCACUUUUUGUAUUUGCUGUCCAUCGACCCAAAACUCUGCCUGCCGGGGCUGCUUCGCAAAAUCACCUCCCUGUUGUUAAUUGUUUCCUUUUAUGGCUGAAAACUCUGCCCUUUUUGUUCCCUUCCCUUCUUGGUGUGCCUCUGACAUCACAGCCCUCCAGGAACCUGACCCAAAGGCCACCAGCUGGGAAGCCUCCU
rnacentral:lncRNA from 1 species